AAAAUACAAGAUACACCUAGAAAAACAGAGGCAAAGAAAAAUUCAUAGGGAAUUUUUCUUUGCCUCUGUUUUUCUAGGUGUAUCUUG
rnacentral:miRNA from 1 species